GGUGAACCUGCGGAGGGAUCAUUAUUGAAAAUAAAAAGACUGAAUAGUUGGAGGCUGUUGCUGGUCUGGUUGGGACAUGUGCACGUCUGUUGCUAUUGGUUUUUUUUCCUACCACCUGUGCACAAAAUGUGGAUGCCUAGGAUUGAGAGACCUUAUAACCAAAGCAGUCUCUUGCUAUAAUAAUAAUCUAGGUAUCUAUGUAUGUUUGAUUCUUACAGACUUUGUAUGUUUUAUGGAAUGUAAUUUGUUUGAGCUCAUUUAUUGAGUAAUUAAAAACAACUUUCAACAAUGGAUCUCUUGGCUCUCGCAUCGAUGAAGAACGCAGCGAAAUGCGAUAAGUAAUGUGAAUUGCAGAAUUCAGUGAAUCAUCGAAUGUUUGAACGCACCUUGCGCUCCUUGGUACUCUGAGGAGUAUGCCUGUUUGAGUGUCGUUAAAUUGUCAAAGGCACAACAAGAAAUUGGUGUGGUUUUGGAAUAUGGGAGUUGCAGGUUCUGUGUACAUAUUGUAUAGGGAUCAGCUCUUCUGAAAUGGAUUAGCAAGUCUCGGAUGACUGCUUUAUUGGUGUGAUAAGGAAAUGAUCGCCAUAAAAAGUAGCAUAUGAGAGUGGCUGAGAAAAUAUAUUUGAACAAGUUUGACCUCAAAUCAGGUAGGACUACCCGCUGAACUUAAGCAUAUCAAUAAGCGGAGG
rnacentral:rRNA from 1 species